CGUAGGGCGCGAGCGUUGUCCGGAUUUAUUGGGCGUAAAGGGCUUGUAGGCGGUUUGUCGCGCCUGUCGUGUAAUCCUCUGGCUUAACUGGGGGUGUGCGGUGGGUACGGGCAGGCUUGAGUGCGGUAGGGGAGAUUGGAAUUCCUGGUGUAGCGGUGGAAUGCGCAGAUAUCAGGAGGAACACCGGUGGCGAAGGCGGGUCUCUGGGCCGUUACUGACGCUGAGGAGCGAAAGCGUGGGGAGCGAACAGGAUU
rnacentral:rRNA from 1 species